UUUUUUUCCCUGAGUGUUGUUUUUUUUUCUUCCAGUUCUCCUCCUCCUGUCACCCCCGCACCGCCACCCUCUCGUCUCUCCCGCCGGCAGCCGAGUGAGGGGAAGGUGAGGUCACCGCUCAUUGGCUGCCCGGGUGAAAAUAAGCAGGCCGCUGAUUGGCUGGAGAGUGACCAGGUAAAGAGCCCGCCUCUUCGUUUUGCUAUUUUUCAAAAUAUAUUUUUGUUUUAUGUAGCAGAAUAUAUACAAUAUUUAAAAAAAUAUUAAAAAGUAUAUAAAAUGUGUAGACCCAGCUAACUCGUGUCAAAUGGAAGUCAGCACACACCUUCCACCAUGUUGAAUAUUUUUCUAUUAAAUUGUUAUUUUUAUCUUGUUGAGUGUUCAAUAAAAUCAAUCAAUCAAUCGAUGUGAAUAUGUGUAAAUUAAGUUCAACAUUAUCCCUGUUUUUUUUAUUAUUAUGUUGUUGCUCUAAAAGGUUUCAUUUGAAUUGUGCAGGUUAUAGGUCAAUUUGUCUUGGUCUCAUUUUUUAUAUCACAAACCAUUGCAAUUGUAUUAGAGGUGCGUAGACUUUCUUUUAUAUUCACUGCAAUAGAUUAAUUGCUCAGAAAUAAAAUCAUUAGGAACAUUACAAUUAGCCAAUCCAUCUGUCCGUUUUGAAACAUGGCCCUUGGGGCGCAAAAGUUUGCCCACCCCGUCAGAGUGAAGAUAAAAAGGCAGGGAGGAGGCCUGUCAUUAGUGACACAAUGCCAUUGUCCCUUUAAUGAAGCAAUUGUAUAACCACAUUGCAGUGUUUGGAAUCGGCCAGGCCAAGAGCAAACAAUGCAGGUGCAUGUUUGGCUUCUACAAUCACCACCUCAAUGCUAAUUCAGCCCUGUUUACUUAGCCGGAAAGUUCAGGUAAAAGCCAUCCGCCAGUAAAAAUAGGAUAGUGGCAACUUUUUAUAUUCCGUGUACUGAUUAUGCAACAUAUUUGGCAUUUAUGGAUGCUUUUUUUCCCCCGCAAAACGGUUUGGACAAAAAGACAAGUGCUCAUUUGCGUGUGAAUGCCUCCGGGUGAUCGUGUAUGGAAAUCUUUUUUUUUUUUAAGGAAAACAACGCUCCGGGUUCAGUUUAACCGUCAGUGGUGUCAUCGUGCGUGCGUGUGUGUGUGUGUUGCAGGUAUGUUCUUCUCGACUCAUUUGUUUGUCAGAGCAGCUGCGGCCUUUGCAGCGCUCUCCGUGUUGUGUGUGCUAGAUAAAUACAGGUGGAGUCCUUUUUCCUCAACCCAGCAUACAAACUUAACAUUGGGAGAGGGAGGUGGAGUUAAAAGAGUUAAUGAUAAUUGUGAUAGCAAACCACGUACUUUUUAGUCGUUUCCACGAGACAUUAUGACAGUUGAAACAUGGCGACUGCAAGCAGGCACGGGCAAGACGUCGGCUCCCAAGACGCUCAAGAAUUCCCUUGCCUCCUCCUGUGUUUCUAAAAGAAAAAAAAGAAAAUCCUACAUGCCUGACGUUUUUUUAUUUACUUGUCCGGACUUGGCCCGUGGAUUGGGAGUCAGCCUGUUUGGCGGCUCUAGAAUCACGAGCGAGUGCAGGCAGGUGAGAUGGACAGACGGAGAGAAAAUAUUUCACACAGAUGUGAAGGACGAUUCAAUAUUGCAGUUAAAAAAAAUAAAUAAAAAAAAUUCCUGGCUCAUGGCAAUUCACAUUUAUUCAUUAUUAUCUACUUUGUUGCCUAUUCAUGAUCAGAUUAUAUAUUUGACUAUUAUUUACAGUAUUUUUUAUUUCCUCACUGUAAAGAAUGAAAUAAAAAACAUAGAUGUAUUUUUAGUUGAUGAAAUAAUUGGCUCUCAGAUUAGAAACGCAGCUCUCAAGCAUAAAAGUCUGCCCACCCUCAAU